rnacentral:rRNA from 1 species
CGCGUAGGCGGGAUGGCAAGUCGGUCGUGAAAUCCCUCGGCUCAACCGAGGAACGUCGAUCGAUACUGCUGUUCUUGAGGAUUGCAGAGGAGACUGGAAUUCCCGGUGUAGCGGUGAAAUGUGUAGAGAUCGGGAGGAACACCGGUGGCGAAGGCGGGUCUCUGGGCAAUUCCUGACGCUGAGGCGCGAAAGCGUGGGGAGCAAAC